CCAUUUUUCUAUAUCAAACUUUCCUAUUGUGCCACACGCAAGGAGCAUUUACUACGGAAACGUCAACCGAAGAACGUCAACUAUCGACAGAAAAAAAGCUAGUCAGUUUUCUGUAAUUUUUGCAAUGAUUGGACUACGAUCUUUGAUUUCAAGAAUUACACACACUAGGGCUAUUCUGAACAGGAUUCAGAUCCCUGUACUAAUACAGAAACAUAAACAACACCAUGAAGGAAAUCCUCAACCAUUCGAUAAUAUGCCAUUUGAACCGCCUAACCGAUAUUUCGCAACAGUCUUCUUUUCCAUAUUCUUCGGUAUUGGACUGUGGUCUCCGUUUGCAAUUCUUUGGUAUAUGAUGGCAAAGAAAACUUUGUAAUAUAUUUAUACAUACCUACAUAGACUA